CAGACAUGCUGCUGGAUCUCAGUGAUCUCCUGCAGCUCCAGCUCCUCCUCUGAUGUGACGUUGUUCAUCUGCUCGGUCGCUCAGAGUAUUAAACGACAGGUGCGCUGGAAAGCGAACACGAGGAGGGUCCUGCCCGCUGCCCGCAGGUCCGUGUUCGCAGACGCUGCUUUAGUCUGUCGGGGGGGGGGGUCUCCUCGGGUCAUGAGGAGGCCGACGGAGGUUUUUGACAGAUUCAAAUAUUUUCUGUGAAAAAAAUAUUUUAUUCAAAGCUCUGGACAGUGUAAAAAAAAA